rnacentral:rRNA from 1 species
AGCGAACGCUGGCGGCAGGCCUAACACAUGCAAGUCGAACGAAGUCUUCGGACUUAGUGGCGGACGGGUGAGUAACACGUGGGAACGUGCCUUUAGGUUCGGAAUAACUCAGGGAAACUUGUGCUAAUACCGAAUGUGCCCUUCGGGGGAAAGAUUUAUCGCCUUUAGAGCGGCCCGCGUCUGAUUAGCUAGUUGGUGAGGUGAAGGCUCACCAAGGCGACGAUCAGUAGCUGGUCUGAGAGGAUGAUCAGCCACAUUGGGACUGAGACACGGCCCAAACUCCAACGGGAGGCAGCAGUGGGGAAUCUUGCGCAAUGGGCGAAAGCCUGACGCAGCCAUGCCGCGUGAAUGAUGAAGGUCUUAGGAUUGUAAAAUUCUUUCACAGGGGACGAUAAUGCCGGUGCCCGGAGAAUAAGCCCCGGCUAACUUCGUGCCAGCCGCCGCGGUAAGAC